rnacentral:lncRNA from 1 species
CGCGGAGUCACUCAGGGCAGGGCAGAGCUGAGGCUCCAGCCAGGGCACGCCCCUGCCGCCGUCGGGCUGCUCUGCCGUGGCUUCACCCCGCGGCUCCUUGCCUUCGUCCCCCCAUGCAUCCAUCCUCAUGCCCUGCGUGCAUCCCCAAUCCCCCGCACGCCUCACUUCUGCCGGAAUAACUCUGCGGGCUGAUGCUGAGGAUGUCCAGGGGAAGCUGGCGCUGCAUGCCAACAUAAAACAAUGGGAGACAUGAAAUCAUCUUUGUGGAUCUUGACUAUUCAGAAAAUGCAGAUUACACAUUUCCAUGCCCUGCUUUUGUCCAAACCAGUAGUGUGAAACAGGCAAGUCUUUGUUCUCUAAAUGAGGGGGUAAAGUAUUAAACAUAUUGAACAUUUACCAGUUGCC